rnacentral:tRNA from 1 species
GGUUUGUAGCUCAGUGGAAGAGCACUUGCCUAGCAUGUGUGAAGCACUGGGUUCAAUUCUCAGUACCA